ACCCGGUAGUGCAGUGGUUAGCACGCAUCUCCGGAAAGGGUGAGACGCGGAUUCCGCUCCCGUCCGGAAUU